AGGGGUAGAAUGUCUUCGGAUGUUUGAGACCGGCGCACGGGUGCGUAACGCGUAUGCAACCUACCUCUUACUGGGGGAAUAGCCCCGAAGAAAUUCGGAUUAAUGCCCCCAUAUGCUCGUACGGCCUCAUGGUCGAGCGAGGAAAGCUCCGGCGGUAAGAGAUGGGCAUGCGUCCUAUUAGCUUGUUGGUGAGGUAAUGGCUCACCAAGGCUACGAUAGGUAGGGGGCCCUGAGAGGGUGACCCCCCACACUGGUACUGAGACACGGACCAGACUCC
rnacentral:rRNA from 1 species